rnacentral:rRNA from 1 species
GGUCAGGAUGAACGCUGGCGGCGUGCCUAACACAUGCAAGUCGGACGGGCCGAGGCAACUGGUCAGUGGCGGACGGGUGCGUAACACGUGGGUGACCUGCCCUGGAGUGGGGAAUAACCCCGCGAAAGCGGGACUAAUACCGCAUGCCAUCCCUGGGUCAGACCGGGGAUGAAAGCCUUUGGGCGCUUCAGGAUGGGCCUGCGGCGGAUUAGCUGGUUCGGUGGGGUAAACGGCCUACCAAGGCGAUGAUCCGUAGGGGCGUGAGAGCGUGACCCCCCACAUUGGCACUGAGACACGGGCCAAACUCCUACGGGAGGCAGCAGUGAGGAAUAUUGCACAAUGGGCGCAAGCCUGAUGCAAGCAACGCCGCGUGAGGGACGAAGGCCUUCGGGUCGUAAACCUCUUUUCUGAGAGACGAGCAAGGACGGUAUCUCAGGAAUAAGUCUCGGCUAACUACGUGCCAGCAGCUGC